rnacentral:rRNA from 1 species
UACGUAGGCAGCAAGCGUUGUUCGGAGUUACUGGGCGUAAAGGGUGUGUAGGCGGUUCCUUAAGUUUGCUGUGAAAUCUCCCGGCUUAACCGGGAGGGUGCGGUGAAUACUGAGGGACUAGAGUACGGGAGAGGAAAGUGGAAUUCCUGGUGUAGCGGUGAAAUGCGUAGAUAUCAGGAAGAACACCCGUGGCGAAGGCGGUUCUCUGGGACGGUACUGACGCUGAGACGCGAAAGCGUGGGGAGCGAACAGG